CUACGGGGCGCUGCAGUGGGGAAUAUUGCACAAUGGGCGCAAGCCUGAUGCAGCCAUGCCGCGUGUAUGAAGAAGGCCCUCGGGUUGUAAAGUACUUUCAGCGGGGAGGAAGGGAGUAAAGUUAAUACCUUUGCUCAUUGACGUUACCCGCAGAAGAAGCACCGGCUAACUCCGUGCCAGCAGCCGCGGUAAUACGGAGGGUGCAAGCGUUAAUCGGAAUUACUAGGCGUAAAGCGCACGCAGGCGGUUUGUUAAGUCAGAUGUGAAAUCCCCGGGCUCAACCUGGGAACUGCAUCUGAUACUGGCAAGCUUGAGUCUCGUAGAGGGGGGUAGAAUUCCAGGUGUAGCGGUGAAAUGCGUAGAGAUCUGGAGGAAUACCGGUGGCGAAGGCGGCCCCCUGGACGAAGACUGACGCUCAGGUGCGAAAGCGUGGGGAGCAAACAGGAUUAGAUACCCCGGUAGUC
rnacentral:rRNA from 1 species